rnacentral:ncRNA from 1 species
GAUCAAGCGAAUAAGUGCAUAUGGUGGAUGCCUUGGCGAUCACAGGCGAUGAAGGACGUGGUAGCCUGCGAAAAGCUACGGGGAGCUGGCAAACAAGCUUUGAUCCGUAGAUAUCCGAAUGGGGAAACCCACUGCGCAAGCAGUAUCCCUGGCUGAAUACAUAGGCCAGUGGGAGGCGAACCGGGUGAACUGAAACAUCUCAGUAGCUCGAGGAAAAGAAAUCAACCGAGAUUCCGAAAGUAGCGGGCGAGCGAAAUCGGAACAGCCUUUACGAUUUAGCCAUCCGUAUAGUCGAACAGUCUGGAAAGUCUGGCCGUAGCAGGUGAUAGCCCUGUAGACGAAAUGCGGGUGGUGGAACUAGGCGUAAGAGAAGUA